rnacentral:lncRNA from 1 species
ACGUGCUGUCACGGGGGAGGGGCUGUAGAUGGAAGGCGGGCGGGCUUUUCCCGCGGAAGGACGAGUAAAGCGGAGGCAGAGGGGUUCCCCGGUGAAAGGGGACGGGGACUAGGGGCCGGAAAGGACAGGAGGGCAGGGCAGUGGCCGGGCGGCCGGAGGGCAGGUGGGCGGGGCUGGCGCGGGGAGGGGUUAGCGGGGGGCAGGCGGGACCCCGACCGACAGGGGGUGGGGCUGUCGGAGCGGGUUGAGGGAGGGGGCUGGGGGCUGCGGAUCAUCCGGGAGGGGCUGUCAGGGGGCAAGGGGCUGCCGGGAGCGAGGAGGGGUGGGCGGUCCCGCCCGAGAGCCCUCAGCGCCGGGUCUGGCUCACCUGGGGCGGGCGGACGGGGCGCAGCUCAGCGAAUUCCCAGAUUCUGGGUCGGCGGAGGCCGCGGGAGCCCUUGGGGCGGUCAGACGAGCUGGGCUCUGCGGCCGACGGCUCCUCACAGCAGGGCGGGACGACUCUCCGGAGGAGGAACGGCCCGUGAACGCGCGCGGAGGUGGCUCGCGCCAAAAAUUCCAAACCGGCCUCGAGGCCCCGCCCAGGAACGCCCCUUUCCCCGCCCCCUCCCCGACGGACGGCGGAGGCGCCGACCUGCGUGGCCCCGCCCCUCACGUCCUGCGUGCGCGUCGCCGACCCCGCCCAGCCGGCGUCGCCAGCCUGCCCUCUCAUUGCGCAGGCGCAAGGCCUGGGAGCGCUGGCCCGGGGCGGGGGCGGCUAGGCUGAGAGUCCUUGAGGCUGCGGGGCCGCGCCCUGUUGGGGCCGCUGAUGGGGGACCAAUGCCUGGCUGCCGGAACCCUUGCCGACCUCCAGACCCUGGUCCCGGCACUCACGGCCCUUGCUGGGCUGGCUUAGAUUUCGCGUCUAUAAAAGGGGCCAGCGCCGCGUUUCGCCUCGGAGGUGUCUCGAGAGGCAGUCACUCGGGGCUGGACAGGAAGUCCCUGUGGACUCCGAGGCCCCGGCUGGGUGGAGGGCCCUGGGGUCCCGGCGUGCAUCGCACCGGCCCCAGGCACAUCCUCCCACCCGCGGAACAUGCGGCUCAGGGAACUCGGAAACGCCGUCUCUUCCAGGAAGCCCUCCAGACAGCCAGGCCUCACCCAUCUCCGAGGCAGCCCUUCCCAUUCUUUGAAUUCGAGACUUGA